GAGGGUAUAGCUCAAGUGGUAGAGUGCAUGCCUAGCAUGCAUGACGUCAUGGGUUCAAUCCCCAGUACCUCCC
rnacentral:tRNA from 1 species